rnacentral:rRNA from 1 species
UUUUUAUGAGAGUUUGAUCCUGGCUCAGGACGAACGCUGGCGGCGUGCCUAAUACAUGCAAGUCGAACGCUUCUUUUUCCAACGGAGCUUGCUCCACCGGAAAAAGAAGAGUGGCGAACGGGUGAGUAACACGUGGGUAACCUGCCCAUCAGAAGGGGAUAACACUUGGAAACAGGUGCUAAUACCGUAUAACAAUCAAACCCGCAU